rnacentral:rRNA from 1 species
GAUGAACGCUGGCGGCGCGCCUAACACAUGCAAGUCGAACGGCACCCCUCUCCGGAGGGAAGCGAGUGGCGAACGGCUGAGUAACACGUGGAGAACCUGCCCCCUCCCCCGGGAUAGCCGCCCGAAAGGACGGGUAAUACCGGAUACCCCGGGGUGCCGCAUGGCACCCCGGCUAAAGCCCCGACGGGAGGGGAUGGCUCCGCGGCCCAUCAGGUAGACGGCGGGGUGACGGCCCACCGUGCCGACAACGGGUAGCCGGGUUGAGAGACCGACCGGCCAGAUUGGGACUGAGACACGGCCCAGACUCCUACGGGAGGCAGCAGUGGGGAAUCUUGCGCAAUGGGGGGAACCCUGACGCAGCGACGCCGCGUGCGGGACGGAGGCCUUCGGGUCGUAAACCGCUUUGAGCAGGGAAGAGUCAAGACU